rnacentral:rRNA from 1 species
UACAGAGGUCCCAAGCGUUGUUCGGAUUUACUGGGCAUAAAGCGCACGUAGGUGGUCCGCUAAGUCGCGUGUGAAAUCCCCCGGCUCAACCGGGGAAAUGCGCGUGAUACUGGCGGGCUUGAGAUCGGGAGGGGUGAAUGGAACUCCAGGUGGAGCGGUGAAAUGCGUAGAUAUCUGGAGGAACACCGGUGGCGAAAGCGGUUCACUGGCCCGACACUGACACUGAGGUGCGAAAGCUAGGGUAGCAAACGGG